rnacentral:rRNA from 1 species
UGGCGGCAAUAGCGCGGUGGUCCCACCUGACCCCAUGCCGAACUCAGUAGUGAAACGCCGUAGCGCCGAUGGUAGUG